rnacentral:tRNA from 1 species
GACGGUAUAACUCAGUGGUAGAGUGCGUGCUUAGCAUGCACGAGGUCCUGGGUUCAAUCCCCAGUACCUCA